GGUCGGUUUGGCCGGAUUUCACACAGGUGUUGCAUGGCUGUCGUCAGCUCGUGUCGUGAGGUGUUGGGUUAAGUCCCGCAACGAGCGCAACCCUCAUCCUUAGUUACCAUCAGGUUAUGCUGGGGACUUUAAGGAAACUGCCAGUGAUAAACUGGAGGAAGGUGGGGAUGAUGUCAAGUCAUCAUGGCCCUUAUGGAGUGGACUACACACGUGCUACAAUGGUGAUUACAAUGGGCUGCAAGGUCGCAAGGCUGAGCUAAUCCUAAAAAAUCAUCUCAGUUCGGAUUGUUCUCUGCAACUCGAGAGCAUGAAGUUGGAAUCGCUAGUAAUCGUGGAUCAGCAUGCUACGGUGAAUACGUUCUCGGGUCUUGUACACACUGCCCGUCACGCCAUGGUAAUUGGUUUCACUCGAAGCU
rnacentral:rRNA from 1 species